UACAGAGGGUGCUAGCGUUGUUCGGAAUCAUUGGGCGUAAAGGGCGUGUAGGCGGUUUGUUAAGUCAUGUGUGAAAUCCCUCGGCUCAACCGGGGAACGACGCAUGAAACUGGCAAGCUAGAGUACCAAAGAGGGGGGUGGAAUUCCUGGUGUAGCGGUGAAAUGCGCAGAUAUCAGGAGGAACACCGGUGGCGAAGGCGGGUCUCUGGGCAACAACUGACGCUGAGGAGCGAAAGCGUGGGGAGCGAACAGG
rnacentral:rRNA from 1 species